UACGAAGGGGGCUAGCGUUGUUCGGAAUCACUGGGCGUAAAGCGCGCGCAGGCGGACCGAUAAGUCAGAGGUGAAAUCUCCCGGCUCAACUGGGAGGGGCCCUUUGAUACUGGUCGGUCUUGAGAUGCCUAGAGGAGAGUGGAAUUCCCGGUGUAGUGGUGGAAUGCGUAGAUAUCGGGAGGAACACCAGUGGCGAAAGCGGACUCUCUGGGGGCGAUCGUGACGCUGGAGGC
rnacentral:rRNA from 1 species